rnacentral:rRNA from 1 species
GUGGCGAACGGGUGAGUAACACGUGAGUAACCUGCCCCUGACUCUGGGAUAAGCGUUGGAAACGACGUCUAAUACUGGAUAUGAUCGCCGGCCGCAUGGUCUGGUGGUGGAAAGAUUUUUUGGUUGGGGAUGGACUCGCGGCCUAUCAGCUUGUUGGUGAGGUAAUGGCUCACCAAGGCGACGACGGGUAGCCGGCCUGAGAGGGUGACCGGCCACACUGGGACUGAGACACGGCCCAGACUCCUACGGGAGGCAGCAGUGGGGAAUAUUGCACAAUGGGCGAAAGCCUGAUGCAGCAACGCCGCGUGAGGGAUGACGGCCUUCGGGUUGUAAACCUCUUUUAGUAGGGAAGAAGCGAAAGUGACGGUACCUGCAGAAAAAGCMCCGGCUAACUACGUGCCAGCAGCCGCGGUAAUACGUAGGGUGCAAGCGUUGUCCGGAAUUAUUGGGCGUAAAGAGCUCGUAGGCGGUUUGUCGCGUCUGCUGUGAAAUCCCGAGGCUCAACCUCGGGCUUGCAGUGGGUACGGGCAGACUAGAGUGCGGUAGGGGAGAUUGGAAUUCCUGGUGUAGCGGUGGAAUGCGCAGAUAUAGGAGGAACACCGAUGGCGAAGGCAGAUCUCUGGGCCGUAACUGACGCUGAGGAGCGAAAGCAUGGGGAGCGAACAGGAUUAGAUACCCUGGUA